CAGCGUCACGAGUGGCAAUCGUAUUUAUUGGGCCUAAAGCGUCCGUAGCCUGUUUAAUAAGUUUUUUGUGAAAUCGUUGCGCUCAACGUAACGUUGUGCAAAAAAUACUGUCAGACUUGGAACUGGGAAGAGCUAGAGGUAUUCUGGGGGGAGCGGUAAAAUGCUAUAAUCCUCGGAGGACCACCAGUGGCGAAGGCGUCUAGCUAGAACAGAUUCGACGGUGAGGGACGAAAGCCAGGGGAGCAAAACGGAUUAGAGACCCGUGUAGUCC
rnacentral:rRNA from 1 species